CUUCUCGAAGGCCCGCUCCAGGCGGAGCAGCUGGGACGGGGAGAAGGCCGUCCGGAUCCGUUUGGGUUUGCGGGCGAACGGACCGUGGAGGAGCAGGCUGUCCUGGGACACGUCGUUACCUGACGGCGAAAAGACCGAGGACCCAGGGGUAGAAGUUGAGCGGAUCUCGGUGUUGCGUCCCGAAGAAGUGCGGAUGCUGUAGGUGGGAGCCAGCGAGCUGGUGGGGGGCCACGGUGAGGGAGUGGUGGUUCACCGUUUCUGGGAACACCAGGUCCGGGCUCUGGUAAAGGGACCUGGCCGGCGGAGCCUGGUAACCGUUUAUCAAGGCGUCUGUGGUCGGGUUGGAAUACGUUAAAGCCGUCGGGCAGAGGGGUUCCUCGGCUGUUAGAGGGUUCUCUUUGGCCACCAGAGACUCUAUGGUGAAGCAGCGCUUGCCUGCAGACGAAAACAUCCUCUUUCGAUGCAAAUGGAAACCAGCACAAAAAGAAAGCGAUCAGUCUUCCUCCUUCCUGCGGCUGGAAAAGAGUCCACCCCCUCCUCAGAGACGCAUGGUAGUCAGCGAUGGAGCGUGAGCCGAGGGUUUGUCUGCGCAGUGGAGAUGCUGCUUCAGAACUCAACAGUCCUGCAAAUUGGCCCGAUCCAUGGAGUGUGUGCGCACCGGGAGGGUUUCUGUGCAGAAGUGCGCGCUAAGUAAAGCGCCUCCAACCUGCAGUGUGACUUGACGCUGCGCAGGAAGAGCGCUGAUUGGACCACAGCAACUCCCAAUGGGUCUCCUCAGGUACCCGACGCGUAGAUCACACAAGACAGCAGCCUGGUUAGACACGCUGAGAAAACAUAUGCUCCAAUUGAUGGAGCAUCGGGAGUGUUCAGCCUUAAGAUGUGGGUUUUCUUCAAGGGAAACCAGCCUGUGGCGGCGAACAGGUCCUCGCUUUUAUCCUCGUCGAUUCCUGGUAGAGCCGAAUAUUGAAGGAAAUUACUUGCUGAAGUUACUCAUUGGGCGGAAAAGGGAUGAAGCGGUUUGUUUACGAUGACACUUCACCGCUUCACUCUCCUUUAAUCAGUUAUGAUUCAGUUAUACCCACGAGAAAUAUGUGUACACUACGAAUGAGAGACAACACAACUCUCCACUCCUCCACGUGUUUUUAUUUUUGGUGGAAACACACAAGCAUUUUUUUCUUCAUCUGCAGAAUUUCCAACAUUUAAUAUUUUACUUAAUUAUCAUAUUUUCUCAUACUAAAUCUUGUGAAUAAUAAUAAUAAUAAUAAUAAUAAUUAAUAAUUAAUAAUAAUAAUAAUAAUAAUAAUAAUAAUAAUAAUAAUAAUAGACAGAGAUAAAUGAUCUCUCUGCACCCUGCAGACAUCUAGGAACACGAGGCUCCGUUUGUUUUCAUGAGAACAGCGCACAGCAGGUGAAAACAACCGUUCGAGGCCGCCUGUUGUCUGUGGCGCUCCGCGGCUGCCUUCAUCCCUCGGCGCUCGGCCUCCGCGGUGCAGGAACCAGCCAGCUUAAUAAUUAUCCCCUUAAAGCGCUCGUUUGAGCCGAGCUUGCAUUAGAAAAUCAUUACCGAUGGAAAUUAUGAGGUAAAACAAGUUGUUGAUUAGGCGUUUAGAGCUAAAGGCUCCUAAAGACCGCAGGAGGUUCCGUGAAUGGGUCAGCGUGCAAAAAGCGCCGUUUCCCCUGCGGUGUCAUUUCAUUUAAUCACCACUGUAGGACUGGGAGAGAGAUAAGCAUCUACAAUUUUCUAGGGGACUCGGAGCACAUUUCCUUUUAAAGCGGUUUCCUUGGAAAUACUUUUCAUUUGAAUGAUUCAUGAGAACUGAACCGAGCAUUAAAAACAAAAAAAGGUGUAUUAUUAGAGAUUAAUUGUAAAAAAAAUAUUAUGCCUUUAAUUACAUUGUUAAUUACAGAUAUUUUGAAAUGUUAAAAUGUGUUUUUUUUUAUUUUUGUCACCUUUAUUCAGUGUUGGGAUGUCACCAAAAAUCUGCAAAAUAAAGGAUUAAUUUAUU